rnacentral:lncRNA from 1 species
UAAAGUUGUAUAAAGUUUUGGAGAAGAUGUGGCUCAUAAGAUACACUUAUGGAAUGCUAGUGGAAGUGGAUGGAUACAAAUGAAAUGAAGAAGAGUGGAGUAUAAUUAGAAGAAGCAGCAAGAAUUAAUUAUAGAAAGACAACGAUGCAGUUAUUGGAAGGAAAGCAUAUAAUGUUGAAUUUGUUAGAAGGAUCCCACAAUACUGCUUUUGUUAUUGAGGAUAAGAUCCACCAGACAAGACCAC